rnacentral:tRNA from 1 species
GGGCCGGUAGUUCAGGGGUAGAAUACCCGCCUUGCGAGCGGGUGGUCGCGGGUUCAAGUCCCGCCCGGUCCA